rnacentral:rRNA from 1 species
GUGGGGAAUUUUGGACAAUGGGCGAAAGCCUGAUCCAGCCAUGCCGCGUGUGUGAAGAAGGUCUUCGGAUUGUAAAGCACUUUAAGUUGGGCGGAAGGGCAGUAAGUUAAUACCUUGCUGUUUUGACGUUACCAACAGAAUAAGCACCGGCUAACUUCGUGCCAGCAGCCGCGUUAAUACGAAGGGUGCAAGCGUUAAUCGGAAUUCCUGGGCGUAAAGCGCGCGUAGGUGGUUCAGCAAGUUGGAGGUGAAAUCCCCGGGCUCAACCUGGGAAGUGCCUGCAAAACUACUGAGCUAGAGUACGGUAGGGGGUAGUGGAAUUUCCUGUGUAGCGGGGAGAUGCGUAGAGAGAGGAAGGAACACCAGUGGCGAAGGCGACUACCUGGACUGAUACGGACACUGAGGUGCGAAAGCGUGGGGAGCAAACAGGAUUAGAAACCCGAGUAGUCC